UGGGCCUGAAGCAUCCGUAGCUGGCUAAACAAGUUCCCUGUUAAAUCCAGCGAUUCAAUCGUUGGAUUGCGGGGAAUACUGCUUGGCUAGGGGGCGGGAGAGGCCGACGGUAUUUUCGGGGUAUGGGUGAAAUCCUAUAAUCCCGGAAGGACCACCAGUGGCGAAGGCUGUCGGCUAGAACGCGCCCGACGGUGAGGGAUGAAAGCUUGGGGAGCGAACCGGAUUAGAUACCCGGGUAGUCCAAGCUGUAAACGAUGCAGGCUAGGUGUUAGGGCGGCCACGUGCCGCUCUAGUGCCGCAGGGAAGCUGUUAAGCCUGCCGCCUGGGGAGUACGGCCGCAAGGCUGAAACUUAAAGGAAUUGGCGGGGGAGCACCACAAGGGGUGAAGCUUGCGGUUUAAUUGGAGUCAACGCCGGAAAUCUCACCGGGGGCGACAGCAGGAUGAAAGCCAGAUUAAAGGUCUUGCCAGACGAGCUGAGAGGAGGUGCAUGGCCGUCGCCAGUUCGUGCCGUGAGGUGUCCUGUUAAGUCAGGCAACGAUCGAGACCCGCAUCUCCAGUUGCUACCAGCCUCGCGCUGGGCACACUGGGGAGACCGCCGCUGAUAAGGCGGAGGAAGGAGCGGGCCACGGCAGGUCAGUAUGCCCCGAAUCUCCCGGGCCACACGCGAGCUGCAAUGGCAGGUACAAUGGGCUCCGACCCCGAAAGGGGAAGGCAAUCUCUAAAACCUGCCGUAGUUGGGAUCGAGGGUUGAA
rnacentral:rRNA from 1 species